AGUUUAAAUAGGAAAGGUAUCUAGUGGAUACUUAGGCAUUGAAGUAAUGAAGACGUUUUUAUUACGACGAAAUAGUUAAGGGGAAUAGUAUAGAAUUUUGUGAUCCUUAAUUUUCUUCUUGUGGGAAACCACAGUAUAUUUGUAUUGAGUACUUAGUGAACUGAAACAUCUUAGUAGCUAAAGGAAAAGAAAUUAAUUAAAGAUUCUAUUAGUAGCGGUGAGCGAAUGUAGAGAAGGCUUAAACUAUGGUUUAUUUAUAUAAGUAGAAAACUUUGGAA
rnacentral:ncRNA from 1 species